rnacentral:lncRNA from 1 species
GUUCUCAUUCUUCUUCUACUCAAAACACAAAACACUUCUUUCUUCAUUUUCUUCCACCAUGAGAAAUUUCUUCCUUUCUCCAUUUUUGCUCAUGUUCAAACCCAACGAGCUCCUAUCUAUGUUUCUAGUCUUGCGCCUCCGACACUUGCUCGUGUCCUCCACCUUCGCUUUCACGUGGAGAGAUCUCCCCUAAGUCUGAUGGAAGUGUUUUCCGUUGCUCGCAACCUCCACCUUCAUCUACGUGCGAGAUCUUCCCGCCUCCAUGUGUCGUAGCCGCAGCCUCACAGGCCGUGUCUCCUUGCCCCUUCUCACAUUACCACUGUAGCCUCUCGCGCUGCAACUCUUCCUGUCCCUAAUUUCGAGUACAUGUUUCUGGUAGUGAUUUUUAGGGUUAAUAAUUUUUAAGGUUUUAGGGUUUCUUGUGAGUGAUUACUAAUGACUUCAAUUUCUCUUCCCC